UUCGUAGUGAACCUGCGGAA
rnacentral:rRNA from 1 species